rnacentral:rRNA from 1 species
AACGAACGCUGGCGGCAUGCCUAACACAUGCAAGUCGAACGAAGGCUUCGGCCUUAGUGGCGCACGGGUGCGUAACGCGUGGGAAUCUGCCCUUUGGUUCGGAAUAACAGCUGGAAACGGCUGCUAAUACCGGAUGAUGACGAAAGUCCAAAGAUUUAUCGCCAGAGGAUGAGCCCGCGUUGGAUUAGGUAGUUGGUGGGGUAAAGGCCUACCAAGCCGACGAUCCAUAGCUGGUCUGAGAGGAUGAUCAGCCACACUGGGACUGAGACACGGCCCAGACUCCUACGGGAGGGAGCAGUGGGGAAUAUUGGACAAUGGGCGCAAGCCUGAUCCAGCAAUGCCGCGUGAGUGAUGAAGGCCCUAGGGUUGUAAAGCUCUUUUACCCGGGAAGAUAAUGACUGUACCGGGAGAAUAAGCCCCGGCUAACUCCGUG